rnacentral:rRNA from 1 species
AAGCGGAGGAAAAGAAACUAACAAGGAUUCCCCUAGUAACGGCGAGUGAAGCGGGAACAGCUCAAAUUUUAAAUCUGGCUGCUUCGCAGUCCGAGUUGUAAUUUGAAGGCGUCUGUCGCAUGUGAGACGAUGGCACAAGUCCUCUGGAACGUGGCAUCGUAGAGGGUGAGAAUCCCGUCUCUGGUCGUUGUCUUGCAGGCACACGGCAGGCGAUCCGAAGAGUCGAGUUGUUUGGGAUUGCAGCUCCAAAUGGGUGGUAAACUCCAUCUAAGGCUAAAUAUUGGCGAGAGACCGAUAGCGAACAAGUACCGUGAGGGAAAGAUGAAAAGAACUUUGAAAAGAGAGUAAAACAGUACGUGAAAUUGUUGAAAGGGAAACGCUUGAAGUCAGUCGUGCCGGCGGGGAUUCAGCGAACUUCGCGGAGUGAGCGUAUUUCCUCGCAUGGCAGGUCAGCGUCAGUUUUGCGCGUCGUGAAAGGGCUCGGGUAAGGUGACUCUCUUCGGGGAGUGUUAUAGGCCUGAGCAGAUGCGAUGCGCGGGACUGAGGAUUGCAGCGGACACCCUUCGGGGCGCGGCGACCGAUCCCUGCUCUGUCACCUUCGUCCGAUAGCGUGCUAACGGUCGGGGGAGCGGCGGUUGCACCGGGUUGGCAAGCCGGCGGCUUCGCUAAGGAUGCUGGCGUAAUGGCUUUAAACGACCCGUCU